rnacentral:rRNA from 1 species
GAUGAACGCUGGCGGCGUGCCUAAUACAUGCAAGUCGAGCGAACGGACGAGAAGCUUUUUUCUCUGAUGUUAGCGGCGGACGGGUGAGUAACACGUGGAUAACCUACCUAUAAGACUUGGAUAACUUCGGGAAACCGGAGCUAAUACCGGCUAAUAUUUUGUACCGCAUGGUUCAAAAGUUAAAGACGGUUUUGCUGUCUCUUAUAGAUGGAUCCGCGCUGCAUUAGCUAGUUGGUAAGGUAACGGCUUACCAAGGCAACGAUGCAUAGCCGACCUGAGAGGGUGAUCAGCCACACUGGAACUGAGACACGGUCCAGACUCCUACGGGAGGCAGCAGUAGGGAAUCUUCCGCAAUGGGCGAAAGCCUGACGGAGCAACGCCGCGUGAGUGAUGAAGGUCUUCGGAUCGUAAAACUCUGUUAUUAGGGAAGAACAGAUGUGUAAGUAACUGUGCACAUCUUGACGGUACCUAAUCAGAAAGCCACGGCUAGCUACGUG